UCAGCAGGAUGUGGGCGGGGCCAAAUA
rnacentral:piRNA from 1 species